AUCAUUACACAAAUAUGAAGGCGGGCUGGAACCUCUCGGGGUUACAGCCUUGCUGAAUUAUUCACCCUUGUCUUUUGCGUACUUCUUGUUUCCUUGGUGGGUUCGCCCACCACUAGGACAAACAUAAACCUUUUGUAAUUGCAAUCAGCGUCAGUAACAAAUUAAUAAUUACAACUUUCAACAACGGAUCUCUUGGUUCUGGCAUCGAUGAAGAACGCAGCGAAAUGCGAUAAGUAGUGUGAAUUGCAGAAUUCAGUGAAUCAUCGAAUCUUUGAACGCACAUUGCGCCCUUUGGUAUUCCAAAGGGCAUGCCUGUUCGAGCGUCAUUUGUACCCUCAAGCUUUGCUUGGUGUUGGGCGUCUUGUCUCUAGCUUUGCUGGAGACUCGCCUUAAAGUAAUUGGCAGCCGGCCUACUGGUUUCGGAGCGCAGCACAAGUCGCACUCUCUAUCAGCAAAGGUCUAGCAUCCAUUAAGCCUUUUUUUCAACUUUUGACCUCGGAUCAGGUAGGGAUACCCGCUGAACUUAGCAUAUCAAUAAGGCGGAGGAAA
rnacentral:rRNA from 1 species